CUGCUUACUUUGACGGCACGUUUAAGAAAAUUGGAACAACGCAGAGAAGAUUGCAAUGGCCCUUGUGCAACGAAAACACACGAAUGCAUGAGGCAACCCAUAUUUCU
ensembl:snRNA U6 U6 spliceosomal RNA